ACCAGACUCCUACGGGAGGCAGCAGUGGGGGAUAUUGGACAAUGGGGGGAACCCUGAUCCAGCGAUGCCGCGUGAGGGAAGAAGGUUUUCGGAUUGUAAACCUCUGUGGACAGGGACGAUAAUGACGGUACCUGUCAAGAAAGCCACGGCUAACUACGUGCCAGCAGCCGCGGUAAUACGUAGGGAGCAAGCGUUAUCCGGAAUUAUUGGGUGUAAAGGGUGCGUAGACGGGAUAACAAGUUGGUUGUGAAACCCCUCGGCUCAACUGAGGAACUGCAACCAAAACUAUUAUUCUUGAGUGCAGGAGAGGAAAGUGGAAUUCCUAGUGUAGCGGUGAAAUGCGUAGAUAUUAGGAGGAACACCAGUGGCGAAGGCGGCUUACUGGACUGUAACUGACACUGAGGCACGAAAGCGUGGGGAGCAAACAGGAUUGGAUACCCUGGUAGU
rnacentral:rRNA from 1 species